rnacentral:antisense_RNA from 1 species
CUUCACCGACCCGAGCAGCAGCGGCCGUUCACGGUCCUGCCCAUAGGUGGCAAGGAGCGCCUGCGCCUC